UUUCCGUAGGUGAACCUGCGGAAGGAUCAUUAAAGAAUUGCCCCGUCUUCUCGAAGAUGGGUUCUAUUCCAAACCGUGUUUACAUACCUUUGUUGCUUUGGCGGGCCGCCGUUUCGGCGUUGGCUCCGGCUGACUGCGCCCGCCAGAGAACCACAACUCUUUUGUUUAGUAAUGCCUGAGUACUAUAUAAUAGUUAAAACUUUCAACAACGGAUCUCUUGGUUCUG
rnacentral:misc_RNA from 1 species